UAAUUCAAUCUCGAGGAGUAGAUGGCUACCAAUUACACGUCACCUCUAUCAAUAUCUCCGCAAUUGUAAUACCUUGAAGUCGGUGAGAUUCCUUCAAAAUGUGAGAUAUGGGGUUGCUUCGCAUUAUUAAACUCUACUUUGAGCAUUGGAUGCUUAUCGCUUAGUAUUUGAGCCAUACAAAAAGUCUAAAAAGCAUUUGUGGGUGCGCCAAAUGCUUUCCUUAUUUAAGGAAUAAAUCACAUGAUCACAAGGGCGUUUUUGUCUUUUCACUUAAAACCCUAAAAUUAGUUUUUUUUGGGGAGUAUAAAUAGCUUGACAUAGUUUUUUUUCAAAGGUUUGAAGAGAGAGAUUGAAGGUGGCUAGAUCUAUGGAGAUUAGAGAGAGAAUGAAAAAGCAAUUGAUUUGGGUGGAUUUUUCUUAUGAUUUUUACCAGCAAAAAAAAAGACUCCUCAGAACACUGCUCCUUAUUUUCUGCUAUACAAAAUGGCGGCUCGAAUGCAGGGUACACUUUUGAAUUUACUGGGAGAAUCAACUUCGGGUCCUAGUCUGAUUUCAUCUCCUCUAAAUGUUUUACUGCUCGAUUAGCUGCAUGAAGAAUCAUCUUCUUGAUCUGUUCAAUGUUGGAAGAAGAUCAUUCAUUUGUAUUACAAAGUGAAUUCAUAUAUGCAUGCAAUUAGAAGAGACUCGACUUUGUUACCUCGAGUUUAUCUUCUCGAGCCUUGUGGAAUUUUGGGAGUUUUCGGAACUCUUCUGUCAGUCGAAAACACUCUGCAAUGUUUUCUGGUGAGACGAAAUCCACAGCUACCUUUGUGCAUGACUGCAAAUCGAGCACAUUAUCAGGUACAUACAUCAACAAAAAUCCCCUGAGAUUUCGAGUAAAGAAAUGGGGGUAAUAAUAAUCACAGUUUGGUUGGUAUUUUUUACCUUGAGAUUUCGAACCUGAUGUGGACAACCAGCAGGUAUGAACACUGCCUCUCCUAGCUUCUGCUCAAAUGUCCAGGGUUCAAUACCUAGAAAAGUAAAUGAAAAGUUAGCUUACGAACAGUUAGCUAACUUUAUAUUUCUUCGAAAAAGAAUCUACUAAUGAUAAUUUGUGCGGCAUACUAACCAUAUUCCUCCUUCAGCUUUCGCUUGUGCUCUGAGGUCAAGUAGAAGGACUGAUCAUGAAUGGGAUGGAUUACCUGAUCAUAUGAAAAAAAAUAAAGGUGUUAUUUCCAAAGCGUCCUACUCACUGAAGCCGGUAAACAUAAUGCAGAUUUGGUGUUGUGUUUUGAGUGAUUAAGUUUACGAUUAUCAUGCUAAAAAAGGAACAUAAAGCUCGAGAUUAAAGAGAAUUACAAGAGGUUUGAUUAUUACCUGUUCUACAGGAGAGCAAUAAGCAUGUCUGAAUUCUUUGGAGUGUUCCCUCAAAUAUUUUUCUAACAAAGAUACAUCUUCCCUCCUGAAAAUGUCCCAAAGAGCUGCACCCUUUGCUGUUAUACCACGCGGCUGAUGAAGAUCGAGUUCUUCCUGACCGGAAACUGAGCACUGCAAUUCUCUUCGAUCUUGAGCUUUGUGUUUCUUUUUUAGUGUGUCAAUCUCCGACACUUGAUCGACACUCAAAGAAACAUCAGCCGUAUGCAUCAAGAUAUUUACCUGUAUCAGUGGAAAGGAUUUUGGAAUUCAACAAUAUGGAAUUAUAAGAGAUUAAGAGUUCCUCUAAACCUACACAAUAUACGGGUGAAGUUUAUGUUUUUGGAGAUUAAAAAUAAGCUAAUGUUGUGCUUUGUUUUCUUUCAGAAAAGUGAACAGACUGAGACAUACCGCAUCUGACAUAUCACAAUGAAGCUUAGUCACGGAAUCUCCUCUUCCGAGCUCUUGAGAAGUCCCGUAAGCUAUAUACGUCUUCGGUCCCAAGUCCGGUUUGAGGAUGUUCGAAGGUAAAAGAGUAGCAAUGUUUAAUAUGCCGUUUCUCGGAUCCGUGUAAUCUUGAAAUGGCAAUGCGCUAAUAAAUUCAUCACAAUGACGUGGCAAAAGAUUUUCGAACUUGUCUGAUGGAGGCCAGUCUUUUAGCUUCAACAUCUCAGGCCAUAAGUUAUCAUAACUUCUACCUUUUGUGUAUCCUUUGAAAAAUUCUCUAGUGCUAAUUUCAACCUACAUGCAUUAAAAUUUAGAGUACGGUUAGAAAUUAUGUAUAUUCAGAAGGGCUUUAUGUUGGCGUUGGCUAACAACCCAAUACCCUAAAUGUACAAUAAUUAUACAAGAUGAUGAUAAAAACAAUAUGUUAAUAAACAAGGUGUAUAUCGAAAUCAAGGUCUGAUUGA